AGAGAGGCAGCAAAUCAGAGCGCAGUGGUGGAUUGAAUUUAUGACGCUCAAGGGAUAAGGGAACAGCUUCAAGCAUGUCAGAUUUCUGGGCCCUCGUUUCUGCUAUACCUAAAAGCAAACUCUCUGACCUUGCAUCACCAAUCACAAGGACAGUUCCCCUCAGGCGGCAAAUGAAAUCUCUGUGCAUACAAGUUAGCUAACAUGACAGAAGUUAAAAAAUACCUAGAGAACAUGUAUGUCUUGUGCUUACUACCUUAAUUUACUUUUGUUCGCAUGAUUAACUCACUGGAGAUUUCUUCUUGAACUAAUUAAUCAUGCAGGAAACAAAGCAUUGAUUAAUGGAGGGAGAAAACCCGACAUUGAUGGAGGCUCCGAUGGUUUUCGGAUGAGCUGAUAUGCAGUGUUUGUACAAAAAAAUCACGUGGACAAUCUGCUUAAUGGACCCUCCUUGCCCUCACUAUGAGCAUACACUAAACAUGACUAAUCUUGCAAAUUAGGAGCACUUAAGACGUUGACGUUAACACACGUUAAUUAUAAGAAAAUAAUACGGCUAAAUUACAAGGAGUCGUAUCAAAACAUAGAACUCAGUUUUUGUUGAUGCAUAAGCUGUUUACCAUGAAAAAAGGUGCGAAUUUCGUUCUUGCCGACAAAUUCUUGUCACAUACAGAAUAUUGUAGAAUUAAGCUUCGCAUUUUUGCCUGUGAUUUAAAUUGUGUUAAUUUAUUCCAUGGUCUUCUUCUUCGAGUGAGUAUAAGAUUUUCCGAUAUGUUUUGAGUUUAGAAUCGAAAGCUUGUAACUUUCUUUUUCAGAAAAUUUUGAGAGCCAACACUGAGAUGGCAGCUUUUGAAUGAAGACCUGAUGUGCUUUCAUCGAACAAACGAUAAAUGGAGAGGAUCUUUACUUUUCUAAAAAUCCAAAGGUUUAUUUGGCUAGCUAUUCAGAAUAAACUCAUCAUUAAGAGUUUCUUGCUUCAUCGUUGUUUAGUGCUGGAGGCUCCAAGUAACUUGCAAUCUUUGUGGUAUAGCUUAUGACCAUCUUUUUUAUUUAUUGUGAUUUUGCUUGAAAUAUUUGGAUGAAAAUUUUAUUUUGAUGGGGAUUUAAUGGAUAUUUUACUAUGGGUUCGGAUGAAAUGUUAUAUCAAUGAUUUGCGCUAAUUAUUGAAAUUUUUUUCAAGAAAGCUCGGAAGCUUUUAUCUUCCUGCACAACCUAGACUAGAGUAUAUGGCUAACAUGAAAUAAUAUUAUCUUUCAAAAAUACUAUAGAUGUUGGUUUCUAUUUUAGUUUGAUCGUUCAUCAAUUUUUUUACUUGCUAAAUCAUAUAAUCACUGGUUUGUAUAUUGCGAUAUCUAAUCUUAUUUUUUUUAAUUUUGCAUGUCAAUAUACGUUUUAUUUAUUUAUUUUAUAGCUACUGUGUAAAUAUAAUAUUCAUGUAAAAAGAAAAAAAAAAACUUCAUUUACCAAGAUAUUCGAAGAGUAGCAUGUCAAAGAGAGGAGGGGCAGCGGAUGGAGUGAAAACUCCUUCGAGAGAGUAAAUUUGAGAAUGGCCCCGGUGGCAGACUUACACGUGUCGACCAUACGGGCGCGGGGGUCCGCAAGGUAACAGCGUCGUUAAGGUAAUUCUCCACCAAAUGUCACGGAGCUUUGCCACCCAUUUCACUGCUUGUAGCAGGGAAUUUGCGGGCCCUUGAAUACUUAGUUCUAAUGAUCUAAAAUUUGUAUUUCACUGGAAGUUGGGGGCCCACAAGUGAUUUUGGCCCACUAAAAAGAUGAGAACUGCAGACGUUGGGCUUUUUCAUCACUCUAUACAAUACGCUUGUCACUUCAUCAACAAAGAAAGCAAGCAAGAGUGCCUUUAGAAAAUUAGCUCCGUAAUAAUACUGCCACUUGCUAAAGCUGAGAGAGAUGGCGUUUGCUUUGAGAUUUUGUUUUUUAAAAUAUUUUUUAUUUAUAAAUAUAUUAAAAUAUAUAUAUAUUUUUUUUUAAAAAAAUUAUUUUUAAUUUUUUAAAAAAUUUUCAGAAAAUCUCUAAAAAAACAGUUGGGCCGAGCAAUGACAAACAUCACCUUCGAGUAUUACCUCUAGCCCUUCUCAUUUGAUUUUUACAUAGAUUUCUGUUGUUGGAUGAUUAAUUCACAUUAAACUGUGUGAAUUUAGAAGCGGUAAUUAAAUCAUUGUGAUCGUGAAUGUUAGAAUAAUCUUUGUUAAAAUCAAAAUUAUUGAGAAACGAUAUCGGAGUUUAAUGGAAUUGAACUUUCAAUAAAACAUGAAUUGAAAGUAAAUAAUGUUCUUACACUUACAACAUGGUUGUUUGUAUCUAGAUUUUCCUUCAAUUUGUUGACUUAGUGACCAUUAAUGACAACAAUUUCUGUUCACAAAUCAUGCUUCAAUCAAGAUGCUGGUCUGUCAUCGAGACAAUAUAAUUGACAAUGGGGGCUGCAUGUAACCCAAAACCAUGACCAACCUCAAGAUAUGGAGACUAGGUGGGAAGCUUGUGACCACUCCCCCGUAGCUGUUGAGGGCCAUGCCCCAUUCUCCCGAUUGAACUCCCGCGUCGUCGAGUCGUAGGGAAGACGACCCUAACCAGACUGGCCGGCAUGAUUAGACGCUAAUCACCCCUAAUCAGCCUUGAAAGUGAGCCUAUGAGAGGGCGACUGGUACUAAUAUGUCAUGGUCUGGCACAAGUCGGGGUGUUGGAGCCCAUGGUCCAUCACGUGCCAUUCACGAUGAGCUGGGAGAGAGCAAUGGUGAUUAACACGAGAUAGGGAUAUCAGGUGUCGAUUGCUCUGCUUUUUGGACUCAUUUGGGCCCUUCGUGGUUUUUGGACUUAAGGAAAGGGUGCAAGAAACAGUCACAAUAAUGGUGGCUCCUGCUGGGUUGUAGUUUUAGGUCCAUGUCAAGAUUUCUGGCAUUUUACUAGUUAUUAUUUUCUGGCGCUGCUGGGACAAUUUGAGAGGUACAAGAAGGGUGCAAGAUCACAUGCCUGUGUUGCUCAUUUACACUCCAUUGAUGUGGACGAAGUUAGGAUGGCCUAGCAAACCAUGGCCAGGGACUUUCCUUUGUUUUCUUUCUCACUUACAUUGAAAUCUUCUAGUGUCAAAGUUGGUGAUUAGUCUCCAUUGAGAAGACGGAGUUAAUUGGAAGGUGUCCUUGGUUUUGCGCCAAAAUAUUGUUUGUCAAGCUUAUAAUAGAGAGGCAGCAAAUCAUAGCGCAGUGGUGGAUUGAAUUUAUUACGCUCAAGGGAUAGGGAACAGCUUCAAGCAUGUCAGAUUUCUGGGCCCUCGUUUCCGCUAUACCUAAAAACCUGUCUGAUUAAAGUCUUGAAAGAAGCAAAAAUGUAUGUGGUGAAGAGAGAUGGGAGGCAAGAGAGUACUGUCCACUUCGACAAGAUCACUGCUAGACUGAAGAA
rnacentral:lncRNA from 1 species